GGAUGCGAUCAUAGCAGCACUAAAGCACCGUAUCCCAUCAGAACUCCGAAGUUAAGCGUGCUUGGGCGAGAGUAGUACUAGGAUGGGUGACCUCCUGGGAAGUCCUCGUGUUGCAUUCC
rnacentral:rRNA from 1 species